CUACCAAGACAGUGACGGUUGACGGGAAAUUAGGGUUUUAUACCGGAGAGGGAGCCUGAGAGAUAGCUCCCACGUCCAAGGACGGCAGCAGGCGCGAAAAUUGCCCACUCUUUGUAGGAGGCAGUUAUGAGACGUGAAGAGGAAUGAACAGUAAAGAUGAACAAGAGAAUUGGAGGGCAAGUUUGGUGCCAGCAGCCGCGGUAAUACCGACUCCAAGAGUGUGUAUGAGAGAUGCUGCAGUUAAAAAGUCCGUAGUCAUAUAAGAUUAAAGAAGGGAGACUGAAUAAAUAGAUAUAGAAGAACCGAUGGGGAACAUAGUAUACCAUGGCGAGAGAUGAAAUGCCAAGACCCAUGGUGGACUAAGCGAGGCGAAGGCGAUAUUCUUGUAGGUAUUUUGUGAUCAAGGACGAAGGCAGGAGGAUCGAAAGUGAUUAGAUACCGCAGUAGUUCCAGCAGUAAAAGAUGCC
rnacentral:rRNA from 1 species